UACGGAGGGUGCAAGCGUUAUCCGGAUUCACUGGGUUUAAAGGGUGCGUAGGUGGGUUGGUAAGUCAGUGGUGAAAUCUCCAGGCUUAACUUGGAAACUGCCAUUGAUACUUUCAAUCUUGAAUACCGUGGAGGUCAGCGGAAUAUGUCAUGUAGCGGUGAAAUGCUUAGAUAUGACAUAGAACACCAAUUGCGAAGGCAGCUGGCUACACGAAUAUUGACACUGAUGCACGAAAGCGUGGGGAUCAAACAGG
rnacentral:rRNA from 1 species